CUUCCCAGCUGAAUGGGAUUGCUCUCUGGGUAAAGGUAUCCAAGUGGUCAUACUGUCCUUGUGCAAGACAGAGGAAUGGAAGGAGCCAGAGGAAAAAAGCAUUCACAAAAGUCCUUCACAUAUUCCUCACACACUCUUUAAGCAUUUAUGGGGCAGCUGCUGUGAGCCAGUCUUCAUUCUGAGCAUUCUGGAGGCACAGAUGAACAAGACAUAAUCUUUACCCAUGAAGAGCUGAACUAAAAUGGGGCAGAAAAACAGUAAACAACAGAUUGCAAUAUAAAGCGACACUCCUAUCCCCUGGGGAGGGAAAAGGCGUUACAGGAUUACACAGAAGGAAGGGAACCGUGCCUGGUGCUGUGAGGAGGUGGGUUGGUUCCAGGCAAGGAAAGGCUGUGCGCAGCGAAGGUGCAAGAACAGAACCAGAAGGGUGAGUAGGAAUAUCAGGAAAUAAAUCCUCUCCUUAUUUCCUGUGGGUACCACAGAAUAUCAAACCUUCAUAGCUGACAAAAAACUUCAUCUCUCAAAGCAGUUUCCCCACCUAAGUGCCCCCUCAGUGUCAAGGCAGCAAGAUUUCUGCCCAAUAUGCUAACCGACUGGGUUGUGACAUUUCAUAAUGUUAUCUGAAGGGUGGCUGGCGGGGAUAGCAAAAUCUCAUCCCAGUGAGGAGGAAACAUCACCAUCAUUGAAACUUCCUGAUUCGCCAUAGGAAGCAACAAGAAAGCAGCCCGUUGACUUAAUUUUAACUUUCCCUUCAUAUCUAAUUUUAGCUGUCAAAAUCUUUGUGUGUAAGAGCAACAAGAGCAAUGAAAUAAAUUCUUAGGGUAAUAGUUUAUCUGUGAAACAAUCAGGAAGUGAAUGAGUAUCUACUGGAGACACAAUGAAGGAUAUAGAAAUAGAAGGCAGGACCUUGGUGUCUGAGAAGCCAAAAUCUAAUUGCAAUGACUGGAGUAUUUGAAUCAGCUAACUAGAAAAUGUACACACGUUCUAUAGUUCUGACAUGACGUGGCAAAUAUUUAACAUUUCAGUGAAAAUAAAGGGGCCA
rnacentral:lncRNA from 1 species